rnacentral:rRNA from 1 species
UGGGGAAUAUUGGACAAUGGGCGCAAGCCUGAUCCAGCCAUGCCGCGUGAGUGAUGAAGGCCCUAGGGUUGUAAAGCUCUUUCACCGGUGAAGAUAAUGACGGUAACCGGAGAAGAAGCCCCGGCUAACUUCGUGCCAGCAGCCGCGGUAAUACGAAGGGGGCUAGCGUUGUUCGGAUUUACUGGGCGUAAAGCGCACGUAGGCGGACUAUUAAGUCAGGGGUGAAAUCCCGGGGCUCAACCCCGGAACUGCCUUUGAUACUGGUAGUCUUGAGUUCGAGAGAGGUGAGUGGAAUUCCGAGUGUAGAAGUGAAAUUCGUAGAUAUUCGGAGGAACACCAGUGGCGAAGGCGGCUCACUGGCUCGAUACUGUCGCUGAGGUGCGAAAGCGUGGGGAGCAAACAGG